GACGAACGCUGGCGGCGUGCUUAGCACAUGCAAGUCGAGCGGAAAGGCCACUUCGGUGGUACUCGAGCGGCGAACGGGUGAGUAACACGUGAGUAAUCUGCCCCUGGCUUUGGGAUAGCCACCGGAAACGGUGAUUAAUACCAGAUACGACCACUUCUCGCAUGGGAUGGUGGUGGAAAGUUUUUUCGGCCAGGGAUGUGCUCGCGGCCUAUCAGCUUGAUGGUGAGGUAAUGGCUCACCAUGGCUUCGACGGGUAGCCGGCCUGAGAGGGUGACCGGUCACACUGGGACUGAGACACGGCCCAGACUCCUACGGGAGGCAGCAGUGGGGAAUAUUGGACAAUGGGCGGAAGCCUGAUCCAGCAACGCCGCGUGAGGGAUGACGGCCUUCGGGUUGUACCUCUUUCAGCAGGGACGAAGCGCAAGUGACGGUACCUGCAGAAGAAGCACCGGCCAACUACGUGCCAGCCGCCGCGGUAA
rnacentral:rRNA from 1 species